GUAUCAUUUUCCUAAAUCUAAUGGCAGAUCAUUUAGGCAUGAUUGGCUAGACCAGCAUGAAUGGCUUUGCUAUUCACCUUCACAAAAUGGUACUCUGCAGCCUAUCGAGAUGAUCAUGGAUGCUGGUAUCAAGAAAGAAAUAGAACAGAAUAGGGAAAUACUAUCUCCAAUUAUUGAUUCUGUCAUUUUUUGUGGACGUCUAGGUUUACCUCUUCGUGGGCAUCGUGAUGAUUCCAAGUAUCACCCUACUGUUGGUUGUUAUUCAUCUGGAGGGGUUGGUAAUUUCAUUGAAACACUCAAUUAUGGAGUUAGGAGAGGGGAUAAAGUUUUAGAAAAUCAUUUAAAGAAUUGUGGUAAGAAUAGAAGUUAUAUUUCUAAAACAAGUCAAAAUAAAAUCAUUAAAUGUUGUGGCCAGGUAAUCAGUAAUCAGAUUAUUUCUGAUAUCAAAAA